UACGGAAGGGGCGAGCGUUGUUCGGAAUCAUUGGGCGUAAAGGGCGCGUAGGUGGUUCUGUAUGUCUACCGUGAAAGCGUACGGCUCAACCGUAUUUUGUCGGUAGAAACUGCAGGACUUGAGGCUGGGAGGGGCUGGUGGAAUUCCCUGUGUAGCGGUGAAAUGCGUAGGAGAGUGGGGGAGAACACUCGUGGCGAAGGCGGCCAGCUAGACCAGUUCUGACACUGAGGCGCGACAGCGUGGGGAGCAAACAGG
rnacentral:rRNA from 1 species